rnacentral:rRNA from 1 species
AGUGAACGCUGGCGGUAGGCCUAACACAUGCAAGUCGAACGGCAGCACAGUAAGAGCUUGCUCUUACGGGUGGCGAGUGGCGGACGGGUGAGGAAUACAUCGGAAUCUACUUUUUCGUGGGGGAUAACGUAGGGAAACUUACGCUAAUACCGCAUACGACCUACGGGUGAAAGCAGGGGAUCUUCGGACCUUGCGCGAUUGAAUGAGCCGAUGUCGGAUUAGCUAGUUGGCGGGGUAAAGGCCCACCAAGGCGACGAUCCGUAGCUGGUCUGAGAGGAUGAUCAGCCACACUGGAACUGAGACACGGUCCAGACUCCUACGGGAGGCAGCAGUGGGGAAUAUUGGACGAUGGGCGCAAGCCUGAUCCAGCCAUACCGCGUGGGUGAAGAAGGCCUUCGGGUUGGAAAGCCCUUUUGUGGGGAAAGAAAAGCAGCAGGUUAAUACCCCGCUGUUCUGACGGUACCCAAAGAAUAAGCACCGGCUAACUUCGUG